AUCGCUUAUGGCUAAGAUAAGGGUGUAGUAUCUGUUCUUAUAAGUUUAAUAUCUAAUAAAGUAUUUAUAGAGUAGUUCGAAUAUUAGCUUGAUUUUUGUAACUUUGUGAAAUGCUAAAGCUUCCUUCAUGUCUGCUUUGAGUUGAACAGGCAUUGCAAUGUUGUCUGCAUCAACUGGUAUAAA